CGCACGGGUGAGUAACACGUAUCCAACCUGCCGUCUACUCUUGGACAGCCUUCUGAAAGGAAGAUUAAUACAAGAUGGCAUCAUGAGUCCGCAUGUUCACAUGAUUAAAGGUAUUCCGGUAGACGAUGGGGAUGCGUUCCAUUAGAUAGUAGGCGGGGUAACGGCCCACCUAGUCUUCGAUGGAUAGGGGUUCUGAGAGGAGGGUCCCCCACAUUGGAACUGAGACACGGUCCAA
rnacentral:rRNA from 1 species